CUCACCAGGUCAGGACACGGUAAGGAUUGACGGACUGAAGGCUCUUUCUCGAUUCCGUGGAAAGUGGUGCAUGGCCGUUUUUGGUUGGUGGAUCGAUCCGUCUGGUUAAUUCCGUUAACGAACGAGACCUCGGCACUCCGAAUAGCGCGGCGGACGUCGCGGCCUCCGGGCCGUCUUCCGCGCGAGCUUCUUAGAGGGACCGUCCCCCGCCGGGGAAGGAGGUGCGAGGCAACGACAGGUCUGUGAUGCCCUUAGAUGUUCUGGGCCGCACGCGCAUUACACUGACGCGUCCAACGGGUGACUCCCGACCCGAAGGGGCCGGGGAAUCCGCAAGGCGCGUCGUGAUGGGGAUUGAACGUUGCAAUUGUUGUUCACGAACGAGGAAUUCCUAGUAGGCGCGGGUCAUCAACCCGCGCCGAUUACGUCCCUGCCCUUUGUACAC
rnacentral:rRNA from 1 species